UAGAAACACCGGCUUCCGUACGAUCACCGAAGUUAAGCAAACGUCGAACCAGUUCAGUACCUAGAUGGGUGACCACUUGGGAAUAUCAGGUGUUAU